UACGGGGGGGGUAAGCGUUGUUCGGAAUUACUGGGCGUAAAGGGCUCGUAGGCGGCCAACUAAGUCAGACGUGAAAUCCCUCGGCUUAACCGGGGAACUGCGUCUGAUACUGGAAGGCUCGAGUUUGGGAGAGGGAUGCGGAAUUCCAGGUGUAGCGGUGAAAUGCGUAGAUAUCUGGAGGAACACCGGUGGCGAAGGCGGCAUCCUGGACCAACACUGACGCUGAUGAGCGAAAGCCAGGGGAGCAAACGGG
rnacentral:rRNA from 1 species